rnacentral:rRNA from 1 species
GUUGUUGCAGUUAAAAAGCUCGUAGUUGGAUUUCUGCCAGGGUGCCAAUGUCCGCCGAAGUGCGUGCGCAGCGGCGCCCUCGCAUCCUUCUGUUAACGCCUCUCGGCAUUUACUUGCCGGUGGUGGGCUCAGAUAAUUUACCUUGAGAAAAUUAGAGUGUUUCAGGCAGGCUAGGCCGGAAUACAUUAGCAUGGAAUAAUGGAAUAGGACUACGGUCUCGUUGUUGGUUUGAGGGACUGGAGUAAUGAUUAAUAGGGAUAGUUGGGGGCAUUAGUAUUUAAUUGUCAGAGGUGAGAUUCUCAGAUUUGUUAAAGACUAACUUAUGCGAAAGCAUUUGCCAAGGAUGUUUUCAUUAAUCAAGAACGAAAGUUAGGGGAUCAAAGACGAUCAGAUACCGUCCUAGUCUUAACCAUAAACUAUGCCGACUCGGGAUCGGGGGCGUGUACUAUCCGCCUUCGGCACCGUAUGAGAAAUCAAGGUCUUUGGGUUCUGGGGGGAGUAUGGUCGCAAGGCUGAAACUUAAAGGAAUUGACGGAAGGGCACCACCAGGCGUGGAGCUUGCGGCUCAAUUUGACUCACCACGGGACAACUUACCAGGUCCAGACAUAGUGAGGAUUGACAGAUUGAUAGCUCUUUCUUGAUUCUAGGGUGAUGGUGCAUGGCGGUUCUUACUUGGUGGAGUGAAUUUGUCUGGUUAAUUCCGUUAACGA